UACGUAGGGGGCAAGCGUUGUCCGGAAUCAUUGGGCGUAAAGCGCGUGUAGGCGGCUAGGUAAGUCUGCUCUGAAAGCCCGGGGCUCAACCCCGGGAGGCGGGUGGAUACUGUCUAGCUCGAGUCCGGAAGAGGAGUGUGGAAUUCCGCGUGUAGCAGUGAAAUGCGUAGAGAUGCGGAGGAACACCGAUGGCGAAGGCAGCCCCCUGGGCCAACACUGACGCUCAGGCACGAAAGCGUGGGGAGCAAACAGG
rnacentral:rRNA from 1 species